ACGCACCAAACAUCAAAAAGACACAAGCAAGCAACCAUUGUAGUUGAAAAUAUCUCUGUCCGAUCUAUGAAAUCUGACCGCAGUCGAUCACGACGGGCCUGGAAAGCUUGUCCCUACGAGGUUCGUGUGAUAUGAUCCUGACCACAUCCAAUCCUUCAACAACUUGGCCGAAGACGACGUGUACAUCGUCGAGUUCCCAGUUCUCGGUCAAGGAGAUCAAAAACUGAGAUUGGUUGGUGUCAGGACCACCGUUGUUCAUGGAGAGGAUACCCGGACCGGUGUGCUUUUUGAUGAAGUUCUCAUCCUCGAAAAAACCUCCGGCGUAGAUUGAUUCGCCUCCGCAUCCUUUCCUUUCGUCAGUGAAAUCUCCUCCGCCAAUCAUAUAAUCGGGGCACAUAUGGUGGAUGAUUGAUCCUUUGUAAUGGAGUGGCUUACCCUUCUUCCCCAUGCCUUUCUCGCCUGUACAGAGGGCGCGGAAAUUCUCUGCCGUCCGUGGGGUCGUGUCGGCAAAGAGCUCCAUCACGAUCCGACCAACAGCUUUGCCGCGCACCGCCAUAUCAAAGAAAACCUUUGGGUUAGCCUUUCCUGGAGAGCAUUCUAGGGACUUUUGAGGGGACGGAUUCGUACAUAGAUUACCAGCUGCAGCAGAGUUUGGGUUAAUGCUAAUGUUAAGUCCUUCACCAGCCGGAAUGUUUAUGUUGAUGGUAAAUCCACCGGCCAUUCUCUGAGUUUGGAUCUAAGGAAUUUUAUAGGUUUCCUGGGAGGAGUUAUCGAGAGAGAGAGAACAUAUAGUUCCAAUGAAAAUAAAUAGUAAAGUGAAGGAAGAUCGUCGGCCGUUAUAUAUAGAUUUUUUUAACUGUAUUUUAGGUUAACUGUGGUUAAAUCGAAUCUCACUAGCGUUAAAUCUAAUAUGACUGCUUCUAUUUUGAAAAUAUUUACUGGACCAUGUCACUCCUUUUUUUUAAACUUUUAUGCUUUUUUUAAUUAUUAAAAUAUAUUAUCGAUUCUCUAUACUAUAUCUGCGAAGUGAUUUUGCCAUCAUUUCUACAAUAAAUUUCACAAAACAAAUAUGACAUGGCUACUGAAAUUGAUGACAUGGCUUCCGGAAAAAUAUGACAUGGAUAAUUUCAUUUAAUGUUGAUUUAUAUUUUUGGCAAACUUGUUAGAAUAUCGUAAUAAUUCAUAUAUUACAUUUAAUAUUAAUAUUUCUUUUUGGUAAAUUUUUUUAAAAUAUGAUAAUAGCUCAUACAUCAUCUAUAAAAUAAACUAGUUUUUGACCAGCCUUAGAAAGCACGGGCUUUGGAUUAUAGAUAAAGUUUGAUAUGAAUUAGUAUUUUGGGAUUGUUGUACAUUACUAUGUUACAAAAUGGUAUUAUAUCGAGAAGAGAAUAUGUUUAAAAUUAUAUGACUUAUGAAUUAAUUUAUUUGAGAUUUUGUAUAUACAUUUUUAUAUAACUCUCUCUCUCAAGCCUAGGCAUUUAUUCAAAUAAAAAAAAAACUGAUCGGAUCCAGGUCCAAGAUAAUGUAUAUAUUGGGUAUUUUUCGGACCAACAUAUCUUGCUUUAGUACGGAUCCUACUCAAGACUCGGAUACCCAAAGUACAUGAAAUGUUUUGAGUAUAUUAGUAUAUUUGAGUAUUUCGAAUAUAUUUUUGGUAUUAUAGAUAUUCUUUUUUUGUUUGUUUUGGGUUUGAGUUUUCAGUUUUACUUUCAGGUUUCAGGUAACAAAAACGAGCUCCACUCGGGUUGAACUCAUGUAAAGUGGAGUGACGCUUCAGUACCACUGGACUAGGGAUGUUGUCAUGGGUAAAAUAACUCUAUCCGGCCCGAACCCGAAUCAAACCCGCCCAAAAAUACCUUAAACUAGAAAACCCGAAAAAAAUUCGGUAUCAUUAGGGUAACCCACGAAAAACCGGUAGAAUUUUAGGUUUACCCGCGGGUACUUGAAUUUUUUUGUCAAUAAUCUUUUUUCUAAAGUUUUUCUGCUUAUUCAAUCAAACUUAACAUGUUAGCUUUAUAUAAAAAAAAUGGGUUUGUCAACAAUCUUUUUGUUUGUUGUUGAUAUGAGUUAUUUGAACUAAGCCAUGUAAACAAACAUCCACGCACUUACUAAGAUUAAUCAAAAAAAAAAUCAAACAAAAAUUAAGAAAAAUAAAAAUAGAGCGAAAAGAUAUGGUUCAAUUCCAAGAAACGUGGUAAACAGAAUAUUCAAUCCAAGAUUCUCGGCGAAUCCACUUCUCCGAACAAAAGAUAAGACAUUAAGUAAAACGUCAUCGUUUAAACUAACAAUACAUUUUUUUAAAAAAAAUGCCAUAGGGUUCCCGAAACCAAGAAGGUAAAACCCGAUCGGAUAAUUUAUAAACCAAGAACCACCCAAAAUAAACCCGCGAAAUUUGGAAACUGAACAUACGGGUUUUGGGUUUUAGAUUUUAAUAGGGCUUAGGGUACCCUAUGGAUUUUUACCCAUUAUUAACAUUCCUACACUGGACCAUCAGAAAUUAUUAGAAAUAUUUUCUUCAAACAUUAAAUAACCUAAACUAUUAGAUAUUCAACCUAAUCUCUGAUUAAUCCCCAAAUUUUCCAUUUGUAAAAAUGUUUGUUGAUUCCAAUCGACAAACCUCAAUUUUGUUUUAAAAAAAUUAUUAAGAAGAAUAAGAGAAAAAGCUUUACAGGAUAUUAUAAUAAAAAAUUUAAAUAUUUUUUUCCGAAGAAUAUGAAUAUUUGAUACCUUAAUAAAACUAGAUUUAUAUUAAAUAACUUUUAUUAUAGAUUGUAUAAGAAUCUACAAUUUUAUGAAUUAUCAAUACAAUUAAAACAAAAUUUUUUUUAUCUACUAACGAAUAGCCUAGGUUAAACCAUUACAUUUAACUACAUUUCCUAUUAUUUAAAUUAAAUCUAACUUAAUUAUUAUUAAAUAUACGUAUUGCCUAAAAUUGAGGAAUUAAUUAAAUAAUCAAUUAUUUUUGAAACUUUUUUUUAUCAACAAUUAUUUAUUUUUGAAACUAAUUAAUUCAAUUUAUAUGAACACUAAAUAUAAGUAUCUAAUCUUUACGGGUUUUGCAUGAUAUACUAGAAUGUUAAAUACUAAAAUUUAAGUAACUAAUCUUUAGAGGUGUAUUAAAUAGUAUAUGCCAAAUUCAGUUAUUUAGUUAUCAGAAAAUGGUGGCUCUAUUAGGACUAAAAUCGAUUUUACUAUUGUGCUUAAUAAUUUGAUAGGAUAAGGCAUAUAUUUAAUAUAUAGUUAAUUUAAGUAGAAAUUACUGAGAUUCAAAUAAAUGUAAUGGUCUAAUUAUAAAUUUUUGUAAGUAGAUGUUUAAUGUUUUUGCUUUAAUACAACAUGUCAUGAAUAUUAUGGUGAUGCCAUUAUGGCAAGUCUUAAAUAUAUUUGUUCUCCAAGCUUUACUUGUUCUCCAAGUGGUUUCGUCCACAAGCUAUUGUAAUCCUAUAUAAAGGACUCAUUACUCAUGGAAUAAUACACAUCAAUUCCCAUUUCUCUCUUCUCUACUUAUAACACGUUAUCAGCACGAAGCUCUAGCGAUCUUGAGUUAAUAGGGUAUAAACCUUUAUUUUGAUAUAUUUUUAGUUUAUGUUGAAUCUUUCUUCAAAUCAAGCUUAUUAUCAGUUCAUGGUUUGUAAGAGUGGAUUCAUAGUUCAUACGACAUACUUAAUUGAUUGAGUUUAUAAGUUCUUAGUCGACCAUAUUGAUUCGACCUUGUUUCAAGGAAUAAAAAUCAUUGUAUCUGAUGAGAUCAUAUCGACGUUAUAAGCUAAACUCAAUCUCGCUAAUUAUGUUUGAAUACACUUGAGUAAUUGCUUCAUUACGGCUGCAAUUUGUCAUCAUACGCUAUUGUUCUUACAUAUGGAUUCAUAUUAUUGUUAUUUUAUAUAGUUGCGUAUAGUCAUAACCAAUAGCUAUCUUAAAUAUUUUUAUUGAAUAUAGCUGCAUAUUCAUAUCGUUUGUUUUUACUUGACACCAUGAUUAUUUCUCAACCUUUUGCAUAUAAUUUAAGAAAAAAAAGCAUAUUGUUCGAUGUUCUUAAUGCUUAACAUGUGGUAUGUCAUCGAGUCAUAUGUUUGAUGGUUUAAUUUUAUGGCUGCAUCCCAUAUUAUUAUUAGACUUUUUACGUUUGAAACCAUACGGCUGCAUAUUUUUAUCAACAUUGUUAUUAGCUUUUAUUAGUAUUGUUAUUUAAAACCUUAGCCACAUAGCAAAAUCUUAAAAACCCUAGUUGUGAGUAUGCUAAACCCUAAGCGUUUCGUCUUGCUUUCGUUGAGACUAUAUAUCGUGAGUGUGCUAAACCCACCUCUUUGUUUGAUGAGAAUAAAAUAUUUUAUGCGCUUAAAAGCCAUAUGAUUUAGUAUAUGUAUUCUGGUUGCUAAGAGUAGUACGUGGUUGAAUUGGUUUAUUCUUUUUUUCAAACUGGUUAAAAAAAAUGAUUGAGUUAUCGAGUCAUUGUUAAAUACCAAUUUAUCUAUAGUUCUUUGAUAUUAUAUAUAUAUUUAGAUAUUUGUUAGUAAAUUAUGAAUCACUAGUAGUCUUGGUAUAGACUCAAUUUUGAAAUCAAAUUGAUUGUUACUAACAUAAUAGCCAUAUUUAUAUGAGCAAAUUUUAAGUAUUUCAGGAUUAUUUAAUCUUUGUAAAAGUGAAGAUACCAUGUGAGAUGUCGAGAAACAUGAAAAGUUGGAACCCAUAAAAGAUAAGUAUUUUCUUAUUUUCCAUGCUUUAUAUACAAGGUUGAGUAAAGUAUGAUUAGAUAAAGUAAUUUGCAUAAAAGUUGGUAUGAAGAUCAUAUUUCAUUACCAUUUUAUAUAUGGGGGUUUUAAGUUUAAGGCUUGAUUUUAAAAUAUGUAUAAGUUUUGGAAAACAAUCCAAAGAAAGAUAUUAUCACCAGAAUGUGAUUAUCUAUAGCUCAUUAUAUUUAUGCAUCUAAAGAUUACAAGACAUGAAGUCUGUAAAUAAAGUUCAACUAUGUUGGAUGUUAAGUUUAAAAGCAAAAUUUCUCGAAGAAAUUUUUAAUGAUGCAUCUAUAUUGAAAAAUAUUAUUUUUCACAAGUAAUGUUGUCCAGCAGACACAUGAUUGAGAAAAGAAAUUAAAGAAGAUUAUACUUAUAUCUUGUCUCCUUGAGACUGAGAAAUUUAAUGAGCUAUUGAUGUUAGAUGAUAAAUCACGUCUAGUUGAUUAUGAUCAUUUUCCUGAAGAGAAUAUGACAUUUUAUAUUGAGAAAGAAAAUCAACAUAAAUAGUAUUGGUCAAGAAAGUGGACAUAAAAAUGGUUAUAGACGUGAAUAUGGAUAAGGUUAAGAUCCAAAUAGUUUCUUUAUGGAACUUAUAUUUUUUCUUUAUAGAACUUAUAUUCUCACUUGAAGUUGAGAAAAUAAACAUGGUAAUAAAGAAGAGAUAUGAUUCAUUCAUCGAAAGAUGAAAGAAAAUUUUUGUGAGUACAAUACAAGCUAAUAGAAAGCUUAGAGUGUUCAAGAAGAGGAUAUAUGAAUGCUCCAGAAGAGUACAUAGUAUUAUUGCACAUAGAAUGCAAUUUAAAUUCCCUAGGAAUGCAAUUUAAAGUUCUUAAGGUAUUGUAUUCUUAUAAGUCUCAAAAAUUUAGAAGGAUCUAAGAAAGAAUACAUAAUCCAUGUAUGGUAUGUUGUUGAUUCAAAAAUGAGAUUCAUUCGAGAUUGAUAAACCUGUAGUAUUAUCAUCUCGAGGGGAAGAGUUAAAGAAGCUCACAUUUUAUGAUAAGUGAAACAUCCAUAAGGUUAUGUUUGCACUAAAACUAAGUUUGAUGAAUCAUUCUCAAAGUAAAUCUCUCGGAUUUUGAGACACUUAUGUUGAAACAAUAAGCAAAAGAAAUGCUAUAUACAUUUCAAAUCAUAAAUAUUUAUCAAGGCAGUAUAAGUAUUUUAGAAAAAGUAUUUAUAGCCUCUUAUAUAUUGUACUAUACAAAGAUUAGUGUAAUGAAGAUAAAUAUAUAGUAAACCAGAAGUUUACAAAAUAUGUAGCAUGAACCAGUCGUGAGUGUUUGAAAAAAUACGAGGAUUUGAGAAUGUUUGAAAAAGCCGCAAACGCAGUCGUGAGUGAAUGUUGAAUUUUCUAUCAUGUGUUUUGUUGUUUGAAACAUGGUUGUGUUUUUAUUUAUCCUGCAAACUAUAUAGCUCACAGGGACAGAGUUUGUACUUUGAAUUUUUAUUAUUAAUAAAGCUAUGAUAAGAUUCUGGCAGGUCAAAAUGAUGUUAUCUAAUUCGGGUUUAGUUCGGGUUUCAGAUAUUUCAGAUUUAUUUGGGUUUGGGUCUUGGAUUCGGUUUUUUUCCUAGACCUAUUACGGACUAUAAUAUCUAUCAUCUGCAUAUGGGAGGCAAUCAUACAUACACUUUGUCUUAGGCAAACGGAACAUGAGAACAAGAAUCUCUUAGAAAUCAAUGACUUAAUGUUUCCAAAUUCUAAUAAGAAUAUCUUAAAGGAAAACAUGAUAAAACAGAAUUUUUUUAAAUAUGUUUCUGCAAUAGCAAACAACAUGAUAAACUGAUGAUGGUUGUAAUCAUUAUUCAAUGGUAGCCAAUCUAAAUUUCAAGAAAAAAGAUAAAAAAACAAGAGUAACAAAAUUAAAAACGCACCAAGCAUCAAAAGGACACAGAGCAAGCAAGCAACCAUUGUAGUUGGAAAAUAUCUCUGUCAGAUCUAUUUAAUCUGACCGCAGUCGAUCACGACGGGCUUGGAAAACUUGUCCUUAAGAGGUUCGUGUGAUAUGAUCCUGACCACAUCCAAUCCUUCAACAACUUGGCCGAAGACGACGUGUACAUCGUCGAGUUCCCAGUUCUCGGUCAAGGAGAUCAAAAACUGAGAUUGGUUGGUGUCAGGA
rnacentral:lncRNA from 1 species